AACCUUUCUCGGCCUUUUGGCUAAGAUCUAGUGUAGUAUCUGUUCUUAUCAGUUUAAUUUCUGAUACGUGGACCAAUGGCCCACACGAUAUUAAAUUUAUUUUUUGAGGGGAAGAUCCCAUAACAGUGGCUUGCUACUGGGGCUACUGUGCGUCGCCAAGCGUUGAACUAUUGCUCGGGCCUGGUGCACCCAAC